rnacentral:rRNA from 2 species
AACUUUCAACAACGGAUCUCUUGGCUCUCGCAUCGAUGAAGAACGCAGCGAAAUGCGAUAAGUAAUGUGAAUUGCAGAAUUCAGUGAAUCAUCGAAUCUUUGAACGCACCUUGCGCCCCUUGGCAUUCCGAGGGGCACGCCUGUUUGAGUGUCGUGAAC